AAGAAAAAAGAAAAGAAAAGAAAAGAAAAGAAAAGAAAAGAAAAGAAAAGAAAAAGAAAAGGGGAGGGGAGGGGAAUUAAAUAAGGGAAAGUACUGAAUCAUUUGUUUUGAUUUUUUUUUCACAGCAACUUUUCAGGUUUUCCCAGUUCAGAUUUUAACUUUUCCUACUGAGGCUGGCCUAAAAUAUUUUUCGUUCUGCAUAAGCAAAUAUUAUUUGAGUUGAGAUUCCUAUGAGGCAAUUCCUUGCAGUGUGCACAAGUUACUGUAUAGACAUAAUCCUGUGUCAGUGGAGAGCCACGCUGGCUCUUUCUGGGACCGAUACAUGCUUCGUCCCACUUGUCACCAAAUUGGAGACUUAAUGUGGCUUUGCUUCCUUUUAGGUGCUAGAUAAUCUCUUGCCUUUUUUAGAAGCGUAGUCUUGCGCUCUUUAAAAUGUUUUGCUCACAAGUAUCUUGGUGGGACUUUGGGGAUUUGAGUACAUCUGAAAAUCAAGCCCUGAUGUUUAAUUACUGAAGAGGAGAGCAAGCUCCUGGAACAACCCAGUCUGGACAGAUCUCCUCCUAGCAGAGCUCCUGCUUAUUCUUCUCCUUCAGACCAAAGGGCCUGGGGAAAUCAGUGUAUUGCCUUUAGAAAAGCAGUUGCUGGCUUUGAGAGCCAGUUUGAAAAACCAAACAAGCCCGAAAAAAGGAGAAACUGCAAGAAAAACCUCUCUGCUGAGCAGGGACGGCCAGCUCAGCGCAGUGGUGAGCCGACCUUCCCCGGCUUUCCCACUCCCUCUGCAGCCAUCAGUUCACCAGGUGUGAGGUGCUCCCUGCCCCUGGUGUUACAGGUGGGGAAACUGAGGCACGGAGAUGCUUGUUGAGAGACCCAUUCUUGGGUCUUCCUCUUCACCCAGCAGCUUUUCCCUGCGAAAUGGCACGAACAACUUAUAGAAGGACCCGGUACCACUGUGAUUCAUGGGGCACUCAAGUCUUCUGUCUAACACCGACUCUUGGCAGCUCGAGAGCCAGGCUGGGUGGGAAGCGGCUCCGUCAGGCAGACUUUGGUCACUGAGUUAGGCACUGAGGUAAAGCCAUUUCCCUGCUCUGUACCUCGUUUUCCUCAGCUACAGCAUGGAGCUGACACUCUCUGUGCUGUGUCUGUGGGCUUUGAGCCUUAGCUAAGCAAUGUUUCUGAAGCUUAGGGGUUUCUUGUCUUGCAGAACCUGGGAUGCUGCAUGUGUGGCCAUGAGCACAACAUACUUGUGUCUGUCUUGUUAUGUAUUUGGCAAAACUGCAAGAUCCUGGAUAGGAAAAAUACAUAUAAAUAUAUUAAACUACUCAUGAAAUGUUCCCCGUUUCCACCUGCAGGCUUGUCUUGUAUUAUAGUGUAAACUUCCCUCUGGAAAAAAGAGGGUAAAACUGAUUAGAUCUUUUUUAUUUUCCUCCAGAAGUGUUUUUUUUUUUUUUUUUUUUUUUCCAAAUGGCUGGAAACAGCUGUGGGCUGGAUGGUGGGAACGUGGUCUUGGAGGUAAUUCCCGUGAUUGCCCUCCGGCUGAUAUCACAACGUAGAUUUUCCCAGCUACUUCCAGGCAUCGGCGGCGACUGUCCUUGCAGGACUCCAAGGUGCUGGCACUGGAGCGGACACCAAAGGCCUGCCACCAGGCCUCAGAGCCGUGCUGAUGGGAGGCUCAGCUGGCAGCACGUCCCCUGCCACAAUCUCCAGAACUCGGAGGGACGUGGAGCUGGCAGCUGAGACCUCUCAGCCGCAGACAUUUUGCUCCUCGAGCUCCACGGGCACGGGGACCGGCUGGAAAAGGGCUCAGGGGCCGCUCACUGCAGGGCUGCAGCUGCGUGCGUGUUGUUUGUCUCUGGAGUCCGGGAUGUGCCAGGCUCCAGGGCUGAGUCAUUUGCCUUCUCCUUCAUCUGGGAAAAGGACUCGGGGCUGUGAUAGGAGUGGUUUUUUAUUUUUUAUUUAUUUUUUCCUGGAUGCAGCCCUAUUGGGUGGUGAAUGACCCCGAUGCGUGGCCUGAGAAAGGUGAAGCACGUGGCAUCUUCCAGCUUCAGGGGAGACCCAGGUAGCUAUCCCCUGUUAGGGGCCUGACACUGAGCCCCAGGGAUGGCUGUGGACAGGACACUGGAGGAAGCUGCGGUGUAGGUCGAGCAGAGCAAAGAUGGGACACCCCUGGGGGUGAUAGGCCUGCCGGAACUGAGCUGAACUUUCUGCUUGAAAAGCUUUGACUAGCCAGAAAAAAAAAAUAAAAAAAACCAUGCCCUGGGGCGAGGAGAAAGAAGCUCCUGUGUGCGGGGAAGUGUUCACUCCCACCUGCAGGUCGGGGCUGGGGUCAGCACCGGGGAGCAGACACUUGUUCCUUGAGGGGCCGCAACAUGUAAUUUAGCUUGUCAUGGAGGAAUGUGCUCAAUGCCUUUAUUUAAUCAGGAGUUUGCAAACCUGCUCGGGUGCCUCAUCUUCCUUCUUCCUUCCCCUUCCCGGCGUGGGGGGCAGGGGGGAGAAGGAACAUGGUGCUUUUGUCUCCUGCCCUGUGGCUGCUGUCAGAUGAAUGGUUUUAGUGGUGCUCUGUUCACAUGACUGGUUCGAACUAUGCCAGAGAACACACCGCAGUCGCGAGCAGGCUGUUUCCAGCCCCAGCUCCCUCCCCAACUCAGCUGCAUCAGAUGUUUUCCUAGGCACUGGCGUAAACCUUGCUACUUACUAGAAAUGUGGGCCUGCGGGUUCCAGGGCAUUCUUAGGAGAAGGAAAGCACCACGCGGAUGUGGCCUGUUAACAGCCUGAGAUCAGUGAGAGUUUGCAGGGCUCAACAGUGCCCUGGUGAUUGUUCCAGCCCUGCCGUGGUGCCCCGUGCUCCUGAAGCCCCUCUGCAAACCAGACCAGCUCCGUGAUGCUGGGGGCCCCAGUUACAAGACAUCCCGGCUCAGGAAAGGAAAGGGCUUAAGCAUAUGUUUAAGUGCUUUCCUGAAUCCAGGCCAGGGCCGGCGCUUUAGCAGAACACAGCCUCACCCGUCUCCUUCUUGGUAUCAGAGACAGGAGCCUGGAUGCUCGGAGGUGAUCCUUUGUGCCUCUGUGUCUGCUGACCAGGGCCGCAGCACAUUUCUGCUGAGCAUCUCCCUCCGGGGAAGAAAGGUCCCAGGGAAGCGGGGCUGUCAGAGCCGUUCGGCUCUUUGCCACUGGGCAUAGCUGCAGAGGAACCUGGGGAAAAACAAACAAACAAACAAAAAAAAACAGCCACCACCUUCUUUGGAAGGAAGGAAAUUGCUCUCUAAUUGGGCAUGUGGAAGUGAACUUGUGUGCUGACUCCUGAGGAAUUUCAUCUCUUCCCCAGGGGGUUUGCAAUUGCCGUUUGGGUCACAUCCCAGCUCUGAUCUCAGACUUGUCUUUGGGAGUGGUAUUCCUCAGCACAGAGCUGCUGGCAUUUGAGGAAUGAGUGAUGCUCAUUUCAGCAAACCAAACAAACCAAGUGUGUAUGCAGCUUUGCUGUGUAAUUCUUAGCAGAAAUUGCAGAAUUUCCCUACCGAAAUGGAAAAAAUUCUCAGGGAACAGAAAGGAGCCCUAAGAAUUGUCUGUGGGACAAAUGUAUCUAACCACACUGCUCUCAUUAACAAUGCAAGUUCAGGGGCUAAAGCCCUCUGCUUGUCUCCAAACAAAACCUGCAAAGCAUGCUUUGUGUGGGUAUUCUCACCGGGGAUCUGUGGGAUUCCCAUGAACAAGUGCCAGGGCUGCAUCUGAGGGUUAGGAAGCCAGGCCAGUAAAGGUGGGUGUGCAUUGUAUCAUUGAGGAUCCCUUACGGUCAGGAAAUAAGAAAAGUUAGCAGAGCCCCUGACCUGAUUCCUCCAGAAAUCGGGGGACUAGGGAGGAGGGAUGCCCUUUGCUUUCCCGCGUUGGGAUGGAGGGUAGGGCAGCAUUUGUCUCCUGCGGCCCUCAUGAAGAGCACUUCUUGGUUCAGGCCCUGGAGGUUGGGCUCAGCACAAGGAGUAAGAGGGUGAAACGCUUUCUCCCAUAAUGACCUUAAAGCACCUCGGCUGAGUUGCAAGAGUUCAUUAGUAGGCCAGCCCAGCGGUCCAGAUGAGCGUGGUGGUCCCCUGGCCGAGGAGGCAGCGGUGACGGUGGUGCAGACGGAUGAAGCAACUGGGGAACGCCCGGCUGGGAGUGCCCUGCGCGGCUGCCCCUGACACCCGUGUCUGAUAAACAAGGCAUUUUUCCUCUCCAUUACAGGGCUGGGCCCAGGAGCCGUGGGAGUCAACAGGAAUCAUUCCAGUGCGGGCUUUGGAUCUUUGUCUGGUUAAACAAAUAGAAGGAAAAAAAUAAAUAACAUGGUUCUAACAAAUAUUUCAGGAAGUAUAAGUGUCUGCCUUUCCCUGUGACUUGAUCCAAACCCCACAAAGGAAAAAAAAAAUAAUCCCAAUUUCUGUGAUGCUUUUCCAUGUGCCUUUCCCCAGUGAUUGGGAGUGUUAAUGCAGGCACCUUGGCUCGAGAAUACAGCUGGCCCGCAGGGAAACCCUGUGUGGGAUUUCUCUGGGGUGGUAAGUAACCUUCUUGGCCGACCACCUUUGCGAGGGAGGUUUACGCUUGGUAUUAGAAGGACCCUUCUUGUUUGGGAACUGAGUUCCUGUCCUCAGAAUAACCGUUCGACAGCCUUGCUGCUGAGCUGGAAUGGCUCUAUAAAAAUAAAUGAUGUAUUUGGUCAUUUCUGUGGUUUCUUGCCUCCGGAGAGAGGUUUCCACAUCUCCCUGCUUGCUGCUGCCUUGCAGCGACACCUGCUGCGCGCUGUGAGGAGAAGAACGAUUUUCUUUCCUAUGAAAGCUAUCCUUUUUCCUUUUUUUUUUUUUUUUUUUUUUUUUUUUUUUUUUCGCCUGGGAAGGCUUGCAGCAAGGGCAGCUUUGGUUUUUUAAGGUGGGAGAAAAGGAAGUGGGGAGGUCCGCACCUUCCUCAAAUACAAACAUUUCUGUGGUCCAUGACUUCUCCAACCUGGCGCGGCCUGUGGUGGUGACGCUUUUGUUUUGCAAACUUCUUCCAGCCCAGUCUUGGGUAAGAAAUGGUGAAAAGCCUGCUGUUACUCCUGGCACAAAGCUCAGGAGAGGUAGUGCAGGCAUCAGCCUCAGCCCCAGAGCUGGUUUUGAACAAGGGAGAGCCAGCCCAGCGUGUCUUGCUCCCUGUUUAGUAGCUGGGGAGGGAGAUGUGCGUACACUGGGAGGACGUCCCUGUGUGUGACCC